rnacentral:rRNA from 1 species
AACAAACGCUGGCGGCGCGCCUAAUACAUGCAAGUCGAACGGGGAAAGCUUUCGGGUGAGUACUAGUGGCGCACGGGUGAGUAACGCGUGGAUAAUCUGCCUUAGAGUGGGGGAUAACUAGUCGAAAGAUUAGCUAAUACCGCAUAAGACCACAAGAACUGCGGUUAAAGGGGUCAAAGGUUUUUCGCUCUAAGAUGAGUCCGCGUAAGAUUAGCUAGUUGGUAGGGUAACGGCCUACCAAGGCGACGAUCUUUAACUGGUCUGAGAGGAUGAUCAGUCACACUGGAACUGAGACACGGUCCAGACUCCUACGGGAGGCAGCAGUAGGGAAUAUUGCACAAUGGAGGAAACUCUGAUGCAGCGACGCCGCGUGAGUGAUGAAGGCCUUCGGGUCGUAAAGCUCUGUCGCAGGGGAAUAACACAAUGAAGGUACCCUGUAAGAAAGGAUCGGCUAACUUCGUGCCAGCAGCCGCGGUAAAAC